CCCAUCGAUGAUGAUGAGCUGAUCUCCUACAUCACCUCCGGCCUCGACAUGGAGUACCAACCUCUCGUUUCCGCCAACGACGCCCGCACCAAGCCCAUCAGCAUCGACGAUCUCUACGCCCAGAUGAGUAACUUCGAUC
rnacentral:snoRNA from 1 species